GCAGAUGGGACACACAAAUUCUUGGCCUCAUGGUCGCUAUCUUUGUAAAGCAGUUUCUGUAUUUGCUAAGGUAAUUUGUGACUCCUUUAAUAGAGGUUCGUGUUAAUGGCCGUUUUUCCAUAUGCAAGUAAAUGGGAUAAAUCAAGCAUGGGUCACACGGCAAGCUGAUCCCUUUACGGAGAUGGAGCUGCUAAUGACAGAUCGUAUGACAGUCCCUGAAGUCUUUCAACAGUGAAAAGUAUGUGCUUGUAAUUUAGUACUGGGAUCUGCCUCAAGUAUACGUGGUUGUUGGUAAAAAUUUCAGGUUGAUUUAAACAAAGUAUAAUGGUUUGUGAUAGCCUAGAGAUGUAUUUUUCAUGUUCAAAGAAUCCCAUUGAUGUGUUCUACAAUGUGUGCUAAAAGAAUUUAAGGACAGAUUUGUGUCCUUUACUUCCUGGAAAAUUGUGUGUCCUUUUCUAAUACUGAGUAUGGAGGAAGAUUCAAUAUUCAUCCGAGCUAUAAGUGUUCUAUUUUGUUUCCUGGAGAAAUGGUUCGAUGUCAGGCUAUCUUCUGCAACAGGUGCUGGAGCACAAGCCAAGUGAGAUCUGUUCUGGAGCAUUGUCAUUCUCAAACAGGUGCUGCGAUUCAUCUUCCUCUACAUCAAUGGGGAAGCGUGUACGCUCUAUACUAGAUCGUGCGCCAAGGUAGUCAACAAAAUCUGGAGGUUGGGGCUUCACCAUCCAGAAUGACCAGAGUGCGUUACAGACGGCAGGUGUAGGCAAUCUGGAACAUUGCUCUAGCUUUACGGCAGGCGCCUAUCGUCACUCAAACGGGAGGUCAAACUGUAC